GAAUUUUAUAUAUAAUUUUAUUUUAUUAAGUAAUUUUGUGUUAUAAUAUAAUUAUAUAUUUUGUUGGGAGGAUAGUUAAAUAUAGAGAACUUUAAUUAAAAUGUUAAAUAUAAAUUAGUGAAUUUUAGAGUGGUUGAUAAAUUAAUAAAGAAUUAAUUACCUUAGGGAUAACAGCGUAAUAUUUUUAGAGAGUUCAUAUUAAUAAAAGUGUUUGC
rnacentral:rRNA from 1 species